rnacentral:rRNA from 1 species
CCUUGAAAGAGGAAGUGCCUCGCAAGAGGAGCCUGGAGACAGGUGCUGCAUGGCUGUCGUCAGCUCGUGUCGUGAGAUGUUGGGUUAAGUCCCGCAACGAGCGCAACCCUUGUCUUUAGUUGCCAUCAUUCAGUUGGGCACUCUAAAGAGACUGCCGGUGUCAAACCGGAGGAAAGGUGGGGAUGACGUCAAGUCCUCAUGGCCUUUAUGACCAGGGCUACACACGUACUACAAUGGCCGGUACAAAGGGCAGCCACUUAGCGAUAAGGAGCCAAUCCCGUAAAGCCGGUCUCAGUCCGGAUUGGAGUCUGCAACUCGACUCCAUGAAGUUGGAAUCGCUAGUAAUCGCAGAUCAGCACGCUGCGGUGAAUACGUUCCCGGGCCUU